AUUGAACGCUGGCGGCAGGCUUAACACAUGCAAGUCGAGCGGAAACGAUGGUAGCUUGCUACCAGGCGUCGAGCGGCGGACGGGUGAGUAAUACUUAGGAAUCUACCUAGUAGUGGGGGAUAGCACGGGGAAACUCGUAUUAAUACCGCAUACGACCUACGGGAGAAAGGGGGCAGUUUACUGCUCUCGCUAUUAGAUGAGCCUAAGUCGGAUUAGCUAGAUGGUGGGGUAAAGGCCUACCAUGGCGACGAUCUGUAGCUGGUCUGAGAGGAUGAUCAGCCACACCGGGACUGAGACACGGCCCGGACUCCUACGGGAGGCAGCAGUGGGGAAUAUUGGACAAUGGGGGAAACCCUGAUCCAGCCAUGCCGCGUGUGUGAAGAAGGCCUUUUGGUUGUAAAGCACUUUAAGCAGUGAAGAAGACUCCGUGGUUAAUACCCACGGACGAUGACAUUAGCUGCAGAAUAAGCACCGGCUAACUC
rnacentral:rRNA from 1 species